GGCUCACAGGAAAAUGGUUUGAAGCGUGCUCUGUAUAUUACACCGGCAUAAUUUGACCAAGCUACGGAUGAUUGGGAGUAUCCUGAGAUAGUUUAAAUGGAAACCGUAUUCCUGCUCAUUUCUGUCGUGAACAAAUCCGGCUUGAAGAGACAGCUAUUAGUACUAUAAAAUUUAAACUUCGAACUGACGUUUCGACCGACUUAACAUCAGGUGAUCCGCCUACUCGAUGAUCGGUGAUCGUAUGGUACGUUUGAUCUCUGGUUCCCGGAUACCAAACGAGAUAUUAAAUCAUAUCAGAACAUCAAAACAUGCGGGGGCAAGUUCGCAUCGGUUAUAUGGUAAACGCGCUACCGAAAACCUUUCAGGAUGCUUGUCAUCCUAAAUCGUCUUCGCGGUUUCG